GGGGGCGACUAGGUUCGACGUAGGUAGUCGGGUUUGAGCAGCGAGCAUGGGUGCCGUACCCAACAAACGGCAAACAAUUAACUGCCAACAACAGUUACGCACUGGCAGCCUAAGUAAGGCUGCCCGGUGGCCGGAGAGACUUCUCUCCUAUCUCCGAGUCGCCGUCACAUAGGAGAGGUACCUUCAGGGGGACGUCCGGGACCCUGUAGGGAACGGAAUUCCGGGCUGGCGGACGGUGAAGCCCGCUCCGGGGCGCCACGGUCUGCGAGAUGAAAUCCGGAGCUACGCUCGUAGAGACUGAAACCGGGUUAUUUACGGACGAGGGUGCGAUUCCCUCCGCCUCCACCA
rnacentral:tmRNA from 1 species